CCUACGGGUAGCAGCAGUGGGGAAUAUUGCACAAUGGGGGAAACCCUGAUGCAGCGACGCCGCGUGAGCGAAGAAGUAUUUCGGUAUGUAAAGCUCUAUCAGCAGGGAAGAAAAUGACGGUACCUGAGUAAGAAGCUCCGGCUAAAUACGUGCCAGCAGCCGCGGUAAUACGUAUGGAGCAAGCGUUAUCCGGAUUUACUGGGCGUAAAGGGAGCGUAGGCGGCCUGCCAAGUCUGAUGUGAAAUACCGGGGCUCAACCCCGGGGCUGCAUUGGAAACUGGGAGGCUGGAGUGCCGGAGAGGCAGGCGGGAUUCCUAGUGUAGGGGUGAAAAGCGGAGAUAAUAGGAGGGACACCAGUGGCGAAGGCGGGCUGCUGGACGGUGACUGAAGCUGAGGGUCGAAAGCGUGGGGGGCAAACAGGAUUAGAAACCCCUGUAGUC
rnacentral:rRNA from 1 species